GCCAGGCAUGGUGGCGCACACCUGUAAUCCCAGCUACUGGGAGGCUGAGGCACAAGAAUUGCUUGAACCCAGGAGGUAGAGAUUGCAGUGAACUGAGAUCACCCCACUGCACUCUAGCCUGGGUGACAGAGCAACACUCUGUCUCAA
ensembl:misc_RNA Metazoa_SRP Metazoan signal recognition particle RNA